rnacentral:sRNA from 1 species
CCAACUCUAGAUGAUCCAGAGUUAGUUAUAAAAUAGAUGGUUGCAUCUAAGUCCAAGAAUGGAUGUCAUAGAAAAUAUGUUUUUGUCAAAAUGACUAUUUUAUUAUUGUAGUUUGUCAAUUUUUCUUACAGAUGCUGAGACUCUUGGUGAAUCUCUCUUGGGUCUUACGGUCUACGGGAGUAAUGAUCAGGAUCCUUACGUUACUCUGAAAGAUACAGAACAAUAUGAACGUGAAGAUUUCUUGAUUAAGCCCAGUGAUAAUCUCAUAGUUUGUGGCCGAGCUGAACAGGACCAGUGCAAUUUAGAGGUGCAUGUUUAUAAUCAAGAAGAAGACUCUUUUUAUGUACACCAUGAUAUACUCUUGUCUGCAUAUCCUCUGAGUGUGGAAUGGCUGAAUUUUGAUCCUAGCCCAGAUGAUUCUACUGGAAAUUACAUUGCUGUAGGAAACAUGACCCCUGUUAUUGAAAUGUGGGACCUUGAUAUAGUGGACUCUUUAGAGCCAGUCUUCACACUCGGAAGUAAACUUUCAAAAAAGAGGAAAAA